rnacentral:rRNA from 1 species
AGCAGCCGCGGUAAUUCCAGCUCCAAUAGCGUAUAUUAAAGUUGUUGCAGUUAAAAAGCUCGUAGUUGAAUUUCGGGGUCAGUAGGUUGGUCAUGCCUCUGGUAUGUACUGGUCUCACUGAUUCCUCCUUCCUGAUGAGCCAUAAUGCCAUUAAUUUGGUGUUGCGGGGAAUCUGGACUGUUACUUUGAAAAAAUUAGAGUGUUUAAAGCAGGCUAACGCUUGAAUACAUUAGCAUGGAAUAAUGAAAUAGGACGUUCGAUCUUAUUUUGUUGGUUUCUAAGAUUGACGUAAUGAUUAAUAGGGGAUAGUUGGGGGCAUUAGUAUUCAAUUGUCAGAGGUGAAAUUCUUGGAUUUAUUGAAGACUAACUACUGCGAAAGCAUUUGCCAAGGAUGUUUUCAUUAAUCAAGAACGAAAGUUAGGGGAUCGAAGACGAUCAGAUACCGUCGUA